rnacentral:misc_RNA from 1 species
GUCACGGACACAGCGCCAAACUCCAACUGUCGUCCACAAGGGUUAUGCAAUAUCCCGCCUUCGUCAGUUCUAUAUGCGGAAGGUGAGGUUCACCCAACAAAACUUUCAUGAGAAGCUCUCUAACAUCAUCGAAGAGUUCCCUCGAUUAGAUGACAUCCAUCCUUUUUAUGGUGAUCUCCUUCAUGUCCUUUACAAUAAGGACCACUACAAGCUUGCUCUUG